rnacentral:rRNA from 1 species
CGGCGGACGGGUGAGUAACACGUGGAUAACCUACCUAUAAGACUGGGGUAACUUCGGGAAACCGGAGCUAAUACCGGAUAAUAUUUUGAACCGCAUGGUUCAAAAGUGAAAGACGGUCUUGCUGUCACUUAUAGAUGGAUCCGCGCUGCAUUAGCUAGUUGGUAAGGUAACGGCUUACCAAGGCAACGAUGCAUAGCCGACCUGAGAGGGUGAUCGGCCACACUGGAACUGAGACACGGUCCAG